rnacentral:rRNA from 1 species
UACGUAGGGUGCGAGCGUUGUCCGGAAUUAUUGGGCGUAAAGAGCUCGUAGGCGGUCUGUCGCGUCGAUCGUGAAAACUUGGGGCUUAACCCUGAGCUUGCGGUCGAUACGGGCAUGACUGGAGUUCGGCAGGGGAGACUGGAAUUCCCGGUGUAGCGGUGAAAUGCGCAGAUAUCGGGAGGAACACCAAUGGCGAAGGCAGCUCGCUGGGACGUUACUGACGCUGAGACGCGAAAGCGUGGGGAGCGAACAGG